rnacentral:rRNA from 1 species
CGCUGGCGGCGUGCCUAACACAUGCAAGUCGAGCGCGAUUAAGUGGAGUGCGAACUUCGGUUCAAGUGAAACUUAUGAAAGCGGCGGACGGGUGAGUAACGCGUGGGUAACCUGCCCCAUACAAAGGGAUAGCCACUGGAAACGGUGAUUAAUACCUUAUAAGUCGGUAGUCUCGCAUGAGACAGCCGACAAAGAUUUAUCGGUAUGGGAUGGACCCGCGUCUGAUUAGCUAGUUGGUGAGGUAACGGCUCACCAAGGCGACGAUCAGUAGCCGACCUGAGAGGGUGAUCGGCCACACUGGAACUGAGACACGGUCCAGACUCCUACGGGAGGCAGCAGUGGGGAAUAUUGCACAAUGGGCGCAAGCCUGAUGCAGCAACGCCGCGUGAGUGAAGAAGGCCUUCGGGUUGUAAAACUCUGUCCUAUGGGAAGAAACAAAUGACGGUACCAUAGGAGGAAGCCCCGGCUAACUACGUG